AUUUCGGAUUUGCUCACUGGACGAUCAACCCACUUUAGCUUUUGAGCUGGUGGAGGAGGACAUUGAGGGGUGGCGUGGAGGCAGUAAGGAGGCAGUUUAGCAGCACAUGCCCCCAUCUUCCUCAAGUGCCUGACGGUCCCAGACUCCUCCCUCGGAAUAGACCCGUUCAGCAUCACCCGAUCUGGGUCAGGGUCCCCUGGAGCUCUCCUAAGCGGACCCGGGAGGGAGCAAAGCCCUGCACUGCCUGGAGGUCUGAUAAGAGUGAUUCGAGAAACACUGAAUUAGAGGAAUUGCCUCAUUAAGCCACAGUCAUGGCAAACACAGGAGUAUAAUUAACCACACAGUCACGGAAUCUCCUGCAACAAACGUUGGCAACGGAGUGGAUAGUCAUGCAAAAGAGGCUAGUGACACUCAGAUUCCAUCUUUCCAGCUAGGCAGGUUUGCCAAUUCUCUGUCCCGCUAGACCUGCCCUGAUCAACAGCAAGUGGUGUUUGUGAAGCACAUAACUUCAUCUGAGAAGUGUUUGCCCACACAAGCUCACAGAAGGGGACCAGAUCACCCAGCAUCAAUACAUCAAUACAGCUUGAAUGGCAGUGAAUCCCACCAGCAUCUAAUGGAAAGCAGAGGCUAUCAUGGAAACAAAGGGUGUCAAACUUCAUAUUAAUAUCCUUGGUUCUGCAGUGAGAUGUUAGACAAGCUGCUGUCCACAUACUCUUGGCUAUAUAGAGGAGAUGCUGAUGACUGUCUUUGUGAUAGCAACAAAAAACAGUUAAAUCUUA